ACCUGUGUCCCGUACGUGUCAUCUACAUAGAGUAGAACUAUCCCCUUUUCUCUCUAAAAAAAAAAGAACCAUCCCCUGCUCUCGUACGAUCCCCACCGCCUCCUGAGUCCUCAUCCUCGUUUGCCAUUUCUUCCGAUUUGCCGCCGGCGAAGGAAGAUGUCACCGUUGGCCAUCAGGAAAUUAAUACCUAGGUUAUCCCAGAUCUACAUGUCGUUUCUUUUCUCUGAGUUUUGCUUCCAUGGGAUGGUGGCGCAUGUGGCUGGGUGAGUGCACGGAUCGCGGCAACCUCGUUGAGUCUGGAGACAUGGCCACGGAGAUUGCCAAGGAGAAUUUGGGUUGUGCUGCUCAUACUUGCCAUCGCCGGGUGCUUUGGAUGUUGGUGGUGCGGAGGUAGCGAGGGAGCUCACGGAGCAGGGAUGUGAGGCAGCUUCUGCGGGCGGCUUUUGUUGUCCUGUUCAUUGUUGGUGUUGUCUGGAGUCCUAUCAAAUGGCAGUACAUUUAUGGUUUCUGUACACCUUUUUUCUUUCUGGAUUCGGCAACCUUUUGUGCCCAACCAAUAUUGCUGUAUAAUGGUAUAUUAUGUCUUCCAGCUCAUCCAUGGCUCUCCACUAUAAAGUGUUAUGUUCUUUUAUUUGUUGUUACCAUGUCCUAGCAAGAAGGCCUUAAUUUGGUUCAUAUCUGUUAAUUGACAUGCAAUGGUUUGAUUUUUAUAUGUGUUGGUGGUGUAGAUGAUAUUGAAGAUCUAUUAAUGGUUUUAUUAAACUGAAAAGGCUGUAUAAGGUAUAGGUGUUUAUUACCUAGGACAAUAGCUGUCAAAAUUGCAUGUCUUCCAAAAAUUACAAUAUGAAGUGCUUUUGAUAGUGUUAACAUUUGCACUGUUAUUACCUAAUAAGUAUCCUUCUUAUCCUGGUCAAUGUCAAGUACUCUUCCUAAAUCUUUGUGUGUACAUUAGUCUGCCUUACUAUUUAAUUAAUAAGAAACUUAUACAUUAAUUUAUGGAUUGUUUCUUUGUUUUCCUAGGCUGUAAUUAUCCAUCAUUAUUCUGUGACUGUAAAAUGAAAUGCAUUUAAAAAUAAUACAUGCGUAAAAAUCUAAAAGUGCGUAUGGUGGAAAAAUCAAUCUCCCUUUUAGCUGGCAUGUCUUGCUUCUUCGUUUCUUGUUCCAACAUGGUGUCCACUUUGUCAUCUAUCAACUGCUUGGCAUACUGCAAGAUAAUCAGCGAGGAAAAACAGAAAAGAUAAUAGCUAUUUAUUUUAAUGAAUUAAAUGCACCUUUACCUCCUUGUCUUUAUUGUUCAAGUACAACAUCUCAAGCCAGGCAUAAAUGUUUCGUUAGAUGACAGACAUCUAGCAUCUGAGUCUUCAUCGUUAAGCAAUGUAUGUAUGAUUUUUACUUCAAUGUGUUAUCAGUAGAUCAGAAUAGAUAGUGUUUCAUACUUGUGAAGAAGUUAUUGAAUUUUGGUUAUGUCUAGAUCCGUACAUAUUCUUGUGUUACCUCUUGACUUUAGGCACAAACCCAUCAACAAUUAAUCUAUUACAUAUUUUAGUUUUUGAAAUUAUUGGACUUACCAUUCAAUGUUUGCACCAUUGUUUAGGUCACCGUAAGACGGUCUGGUUUUGGAUUACAUAUUCAUUCAAUAAUAAGUAAAAAUUCCCAUAUCAUAACUUUGGUUUCAGCCCAAAAUGUUAAGCCUAAAAAUUCGAUGCCGACCACAAUGGAAGAAGUAUAAUUAAAAUUUAAGACAUUGGUAUACUCCGUGCACUUACUAUGGUAUUAGAAAUUCAAUAUCACGGUUACGUAUCGUUUUUAUUUAUUUAUUGUUCCACAUGCUUCAUUUGGUUAAGUAGUCCGAUGACAUCUGUCAUUUUGGUGAUUAAUAACCCAUAGUUAGAAUGAUUGAUUAAACAGAAAUCUGAUUUUUAACUGUAACAUACCUGAGCAUUGCUUACCUUUAUAUGCUUCUUGUUGUAGUAUGUCCUUGGUAUGAGACUCAAAGUAGUAAUUUUGCAAAACUUCCAAUAAUCCUACUUUUGUCAUUUUUUUGAUUAAUUACCACAUAGUUAGAAUGAUGGAUUAGCCAAAAAUCUGAUUUACAACUAUGACAUACCUGAGCCUUGUCUAUCUUUUUAUGCUUGUUAUUGUAGUAUGUCCUUGGUAGCAAACUCUAGUAAUUAGGAAAAUCUUCCGAUGAUACUUUUGAUCCUUUCACCUCCUUUCUCUUAGUAUUGUAAGCAAAAAUUAAUCUAAUGCCAUUGUUCAAUGGGUCAUAUUUUGUGCCUUCCACAACCUUAAUAUUGCUAAAUGGAUAAAUAAAUUUCUCAAUUAUCCUUUGAUCUAUAAGUAUCUAUCCGAUUUUUACCUAUGGUAGCAUGAGUUGUUUGGUCCUCUAUCAAAAUAACUAAAAUAUAUACUUAUCGUCUAUUGUUUGAACCAUAGAAUAGUCUGCAUUUAAAAUUGUAUAGAAUAAACCAGCUCAUCUGUGAAGAUCACAUCAAGCUUCACUUAUUGAUUGUUUUUGGAACAAUAGAACAGUCUGCAAUUAAAUAUGUAUAGCAUAAACCUGUUCAUCCAUCAAGAUCACAUCAAGGCUCAUAAGUUCAUCGGUUGUAGGAUUGAUUAUAUCCCAUGUUCUUGUUACUUUCACUUAAAAAUCCCAGUUUUGGUCUCUUAUUGAAGUCUCUCAGCUUCUUGUAUUCCCAAGCGUUUUCACUUGCAAAGGAUUAAAACGCACCGCUUCAAAAGGAUUGAAAAAGUAGUUGUCAAUUGAUAAUGUGCAUAUGAAGAUUGUAGCUGACAAAAGUGAGUUCAUAUUAAUAAUAAUUACUAACCAUGUUGAUUCAGGUGAGAAGGAAACUCAGACGGUUGGGUGUGACUCACGUAGAAAUCGAGUUGCAUGCCACUUCAUAAUUUGGGCUGCCUUAGAUAUUUGCGGAGCGCCAAGUCCAAACAUCUCGCGUCACCGAGUCUGUUGGCUUCAACUGUCCUCGUGGUGGCAUCGUCGAGUCACGGCAUCCUAUAGUUGGUUGGCUUCAAUUUUCCUGGUCGUGUCGCUGAGUCGUGAGUUGCUGGGCGUCUUAGAUUUCCAGACUGAAGAUGGGCGUGUUUGGCUGCUGGGUGUGGUCGGCCGUGUAUUUUUAUGGAUGAGUUCUGGCUGUGUCCUUAUGGAGUCCUUGUAUGUUUAUAUUUCCAUAAACGCUAUGUGUGAAUAGUCAGUCUGGUGGAUGCAGCCAGCCAUGUAUUUUUGGGGGCGUGUCUGUAUGCACUCCUUUUGGCUGACCAAGUUACUAAUGUGUCCUUCCAAGUUCCGAUUAGGACUUGUACGUGACAAUAGUUGGGUAUGUAACCUCCACUGUCCAUAUCUAAUAUAUUAGUUGUAGAGAUAAUUUAAUCUUUAA